GACGAACGCUGGCGGCGCGCUUAACACAUGCAAGUCGAGCGAAGCGGCGGACGGGUGAGUAACACGUGAGUAACCUGCCUUAGACCUUGGGAUAGCCUCGGGAAACCGGGAUUAAUACCAAAUGGUCUAAGAUGGACUCGCGUCCCAUUAGCUAGUUGGUGAGGUAACGGCCCACCAAGGCGACGACGGGUAGCCGGCCGGAGAUGGCGACCGGCCACAUUUGGACCGAGAUACAGCCCAAACUCUACGGGAGGCAGCAGUGAGGAAUAUUGCACAAUGGGGGAAACCCUGAUGCAGCAACGCCGCGUGCGGGAUGACGUCCUUCGGGUUGUAGUCCGCUUUCAGCCAUGACGCGGUAGUGGCAGAAGAAGCACCGGCUAACUACGUGCAAGCAGCCGCGGUAAUUC
rnacentral:rRNA from 1 species